rnacentral:rRNA from 1 species
GCCAAGGUCCCGUUGUCGGAUAUUGGGCGUAAGGGCUCGCAGGCGGUUUCUUAAGUCUGAUGUGAAAGCCCCCGGCUCAACCGGGGAGGGUCAUUGGAAACUGGGGAACUUGAGUGCAGAAGAGGAGAGUGGAAUUCCACGUGUAGCGGUGAAAUGCGUAGAGAUGUGGAGGAACACCAGUGGCGAAGGCGACUCUCUGGUCUGUAACUGACGCUGAGGAGCGAAAGCGUGGGGAGCGAACAGGAUUAGAAACCCCGGUAGUCCA